ACUAACUUAAAAACCAACAAAAAGAACAAAACACCACUAAACAUAUCAAGUGAAAGAGGAUACACAAACAAUCAACGAGGGAGGAGGACACCAACACAGCUUGGAAACCAACAAAAUAGGAAAACGAAAAGCAAUUAGCAUACGAACCAAAGGGAAAGAGCAAAUACAUAAGUAAAACCCAAAACCCUUGGCGGACAAUAAACUUUGGAAGAAAAACUUAAGCUUAAGCUGGAUACCACCUUGACAGUACUUUUAAUAGUGGCACAAACUAUAAUAAACAAAAAAGCGACUUCAAGCUGAGGACUCACAGAAACAUAUUGCAUUAAUAUACAACAACAUUGCAAUAAUAAUAAUAACAACGUUUAUUACAAUCAACAGAAUUCGCAACAACAAAGAGGAGAUAAAGUAUUACUCCAAUGUAGGAAGAAUCCUACCAACAGCUCAUCAACUUGUACCAAUUGAAAAGCAAUUACCUUUCAAUCGUACAAUACAAAUUCGAACUCAAAUACCCCUUAUGAUGGAGAAGCACUCGUAUUCCUUUGGUUAUUGUGUGAAGAAGCAUUGGACAUGUACAACAAAUUUCAUCGGACUUUUAUAGUAGCAGAUUCACUACUUAUUUUCGAAGUGCUAAACACAGGGUGUCCUAUGAUGCCCUUGGAUCUACACAAUGGAUAGUUAACAUGUCUUGCUUCUGAUUUGACUAUGCAAGAAUUAUUAAGCUGAACUUCCAUUUUAUCAUUUUCCAUAUUACCAUUUUAAAUUUAUAAUAACGUUCGCAAUAACACUAAAUUUAUUAAUUUAAACGUAAAAUAUUAUUUAAUAAGCAUCUUUAUACAAAUGAAUGUACGAAUAUUAGUAACAGUCGUAAUAGAAUUGAAAUUUAAUUUGUAUUGUGUAAUAAUAAAAAAAAACAAUACUUAAAACUCUUGAGAAAUUGUAAAUUAUAAAAUUUUAAUAAUUAAUAUUAACUUCAUAUGUAAAAUAUGUA